ACAGAGAAGUAAAAUAUACAAUUAGUUUCGACCUAAAAUUAAAGAACUAUGUUCUUCAUGUU
rnacentral:tRNA from 1 species